UGGGCAGGCCCAGGGAGAGGGCUCCAGCUCCCCUUGUGGGGUUGGAUUCAAACCAAAGCAACAAGGACGGGACUGUCUGGCACACACUCCUGUUUCCUUCUACAAGGACAUCUCAAGGACAUUUCCAAACCCAGGAGAUAAAAUGUAAUCUGYUGACUACAGUCUCAGUCUGAGAGCAAGUGCUGAGAUGCUUCACCAGCCAGCCACAGCACUCAGCCUGCGGAGUCCCUGAUGGGGACCAGAGGAGAGAUGCUGUCCUGACUUACCCUUCAAAGCACGCUCUGCAAACAGAAGGGACCCAGCCCUCAUCUAUCACCUGAGAAGCUAAACAACUUCCUCCGACGGCCUGUGGAGUAUAAAUCAAGAGGGCCCUAGCUGCU